UCGUGCCUCGGGGCGCAGCAGUGGGGAAUAUUGGGCAAUGGGCGAAAGCCUGACCCAGCAACGCCGCGUGAAGGAAGAAGGCUUUCGGGUUGUAAACUUCUUUUGACAGGGAAGAGCAGAAGACGGUACCUGUCGAAUAAGCCACGGCUAACUACGUGCCAGCAGCCGCGGUAAUACGUAGGUGGCAAGCGUUGUCCGGAUUUACUGGGUGUAAAGGGCGUGUAGCCGGGCUGACAAGUCAGAUGUGAAAUCCGGGGGCUCAACCCCCGAACUGCAUUUGAAACUGUUGGUCUUGAGUAUCGGGG
rnacentral:rRNA from 1 species